UAUAUAUUUGAUUACAUCGAAWWCACCCUUAAAAUUUAUUCCCCUUUUCAACCCUGUGAACAAAUCAGAGUGUAUCAAACAUGUCGUUUUGAAUGUGCAUUGAAUGUCUUAUCAUGGGAUGUUGCACUUCCUACGUUAAAAAUUUAUGGCUUCGACGCAUAAUUUUUACACACACACACAUGUUAUAUGCCACGUAAAUAAUUUUUAACGGUUAAAAAAUGUCGAUGGGGAUAGUUGGAGUCAACAGUACUGCUGGGCGAGAGGUGAAAUUCAUUGAUCCUAGCAAGACUACCAAAAGNGAAAGCAGUUGGCUAGGCUAUACUCUUUGUGAUUUAUACGUAUAUUUUUAUUAUGCAUUACACACACACACACACACACACUGCAUAUAUAUAUAUAUAUAGUAUAAUAUACACUUUACAAUGAAGAACGAAGGUUGGGGGAUCAAAGAGGAUCAGAUACCCUCGUCGUCCCAUUAAUUACAUCAAACGAUGGGCUCUCAAUUGCAUUUUUCAUUAAAUUGCAAACUUCCUCAGCCUACAAAAUAACUUGGCUUGAGCUCGUAUUUUUUUUAAUACGCUCGCCUAAUUUUUUUCGUACGGUCUCGAUGGACGUUUCAUUUAAAUUUUUUUGCGUGUAAGCAUUUGUUAUUCUUUGAAACAUAAGAAUGCAUUGCGUGCACUUGAUUUUCGGAGCUUUGCGCUCAAUUCUGGUGAGAUGUAAGCACUAUGUUAUACUAUCCGCAGCAUAUGUCUUCGGACAUUUUGUCUGUCGUGUUUAGUUAACUUUUAAAGUGUGAAGCACGCUUUAGGCACGCGCUUACUGCAGAAAUGUCUGAGACAUUCCCCUCCGGGGGUAGUAUGCACGCAAGUGUGAAACUUGAAGGAAUUGACGG
rnacentral:rRNA from 1 species